CUUGGUUGCGUACUUUCUCUUCUUGUCACUCAGGUGCGGGCCGAUAAUGAAAACCUCCACAAAAGGUCGAAAUAUUCCCUGCGUCUGCCACCUCAGGUCGUUGGCGGCCACCACUGUCACCCAGAGAGAAAGAGGCAGACAGAGGGGAAGCCUGCGGUCGGCGAUCACGCUCCACUUCACACGUUGGAAAAAAAUGGAGGAAUGACCUUACCUUUCACGGUGACCUUGUGCUCGCCAGUGUUGGGGUGAGUGAAGAUUUCCACGUGGAUGGACACCUCUCCCACAGCAUCGUCCACCCCAGAUCCUGGUGGGGCACAAGACACACACACACAGUUGGCAAAUGACUCCUCUUUCAGGCGACCAAACACAAACACAAAGCUGCUUCAAGUUUCCUCUUCCAAGUCCGAGGCAAAAAGCAGGGUGCAACAUUUUUGGUGAGGCGGAGCUCAUGGUGCCCAAAACCAGACUUAAAACCAGAGGAGACAGGGCCUUCUCUGUGUUCGGCCCUAAGCUCUGGAACACUCUGCCCCUCCAUGUUCCAACUGAUUCCACAGUGGACUGUUUUAAGUCUCGUCUUAAGACCCACUUUUAUUCUUUGGCUUUUAACACUACAUGAGUUGUGUGGUCCUCUAUCCACUGUGUUUUUUUUAAAAUAAGUUUUGAUUUCUAUUUACUGUUUUAAUUGUUUUUUCCCUUUAAAAUCUUUUUUAAUCAUAUUUAUUUUUAUAUUGUUUUUAUAUUGGUUCUAUGUUUUUAAUAUUGUUGUGCAGCACUUUGGAAACAUUUUUGUUGUUUAAAUGUGCUAUAUAAAUAAAGUGGAUUGGAUUGGAUUGUCACUUGCUGCACUACACUACUAGUCACUUCUGUGCGGGCCUUUUCUUUGUUGUUUCGCCUU